GGGGGGGUUAAACCACCAUGUUCGCUGAUACAUGGGUACUAGAACUAUAUUCCUUUAUCAGCGAAACAGAAAUUAGCGGGUAGUCUCUUUUUCGCGCGUAUUUGGCUGAGAAAGCAAAUUUCCGGGCUACGUGCAGGGUUUUUUUCAACGAGCAAGUUUAAAAAACAAAAAUAGUAAGAAAUCUUCUGGAGAUGGAGCUAAAUAUUGCAAGGUCAACAGGAGAGCAAAAGGUCGAUCGAACCCUCCCACCAUCAGAUAUCCCACACUUCGCGGUAAACAGCUAAAAGGAAAGUGGAAAUAAGCCAUCUGGAGGGCAAGCAUGAGGAAGAGCUAUUCUACUAACCGGGAAAAACAAUCCCCAAAUCUUUGUUAUACAUACAAUCUUUAAAGAGUUUACUGGUGUAGUGUAAAUGUAGAGCUGUGGUCUACUGACUUUCUGUCAGGAUAAAAUAGAUACAAUCCUAGACUGAACUAGCCCUCAACUGGUACCUCUUGCCUUAGUCACUGCGCUAUGGAAUUCUCCAAAACCAAUAUCAGCCCUUACCCCUCUUGUUUGACUGUGGCGAUCUUCAAGAUGAAGUCCACGGAGUUCAAGGUGUGUGGCUUCCACUUGAGAACAGACGCUUGCCUCCCCGGUAGAUAUGGCUACAACAAGAUGCGAAAAUGCGGCCAGUGUUAGAUGCGAACAUGGCAGUGCUAGAUACAAACAUGCCAGUGUUACAUACAAACAUGCCAAAGCUAGAUACAAACAUGCCAGUGUUACAUACAAACAUGUCAGUGUUAGAUACAGACAUGCCAGUGUUACAUACAAACAUGCCAGUGUUUGAUACAAACAUGCCAGUGUUACAUACAAACAUGUCAGUGUUACAUACAAACAUGCCAGUGUUACAUACAAACAUGCCAAAGCUAGAUACAAACAUGCCAGUGUUACAUACAAACAUGUCAGUGUUAGAUGCGAACAUGGCAGUGCUAGAUACAAACAUGCCAGUGUUACAUACAAACAUGCCAGUGUUUCAUACAAACAUGCCAAAGCUAGAUACAAACAUGCCAGUGUUACAUACAAACAUGCCAGUGUUAUAUACAAACAUGCUAGUGUUAGAUAUAAAUACGACAUUGCAAUUUAUAAAAUGCACAUUAUGUCCCAUUUUAUAAACUUGAAGGCCAGAAUAAAGCCCCAUACAAACA